UACGUAGGGUGCAAGCGUUGUCCGGAAUUCUUGGGCGUAAAGAGCUCGUAGGCGGUCUGUCGCGUCUGCUGUGAAAACUCGGGGCUUAACCCCGGGCCUGCAGUGGGUACGGGCAGACUAGAGUGCGGUAGGGGAGACUGGAAUUCCUGGUGUAGCGGUGAAAUGCGCAGAUAUCAGGAGGAACACCGGUGGCGAAAGCGGGUCUCUGGGCCGUAACUGACGCUGAGGAGCGAAAGCAUGGGGAGCGAACAGG
rnacentral:rRNA from 1 species